rnacentral:rRNA from 1 species
UGGGGAAUAUUGGGCAAUGGGCGAAAGCCUGACCCAGCAACGCCGCGUGAAGGAAGAAGGUCUUCGGAUUGUAAACUUCUUUUAUGAGGGACGAAGGACGUGACGGUACCUCAUGAAUAAGCCACGGCUAACUACGUGCCAGCAGCCGCGGUAAUACGUAGGUGGCAAGCGUUAUCCGGAUUUACUGGGUGUAAAGGGCGCGUAGGCGGGAUGCAAGUCAGAUGUGAAAUCUAUGGGCUUAACUCAUAAACUGCAUUUGAAACUGUAUCUCUUGAGUGCUGGAGAGGUAGAUGAAUCCUGUGUAGCGGUGAAAUGCGUAGAUAUAAGGAAGAACACCAGUGGCGAAGGCGAUCUACUGGACAGUAACUGACGCUGAGGCGCGAAAGCGUGGGGAGCAAACAGGAUUAGAUACC